UAUGCCUACGGGGGGCAGCAGUGGGGAAUAUUGCACAAUGGGGGGAACCCUGAUGCAGCGACGCCGCGUGAGUGAAGAAGUAUUUCGGUAUGUAAAGCUCUGUCAGCAGGGAAGAAGAAAGACGGUACCUGACCAAGAAGCCCCGGCUAACUGCGUGCCAGCAGCCGCGGUAAUACGUAGGUGGCAAGCGUUGUCCGGAUUUACUGGGUGUAAAGGGCGUGUAGCCGGGCUGACAAGUCAGAUGUGAA
rnacentral:rRNA from 1 species